CGGUUACAACUCGUGUCGAGUUCGGCGCUGUUGUCGACGUACACUAUAACCGCGACGUUGACAGUGACAGUGGCUGUUGCCGCUAAUAUUGUUACUUUUACAAUACUUUUGGGGCUACCACUAUUGGGUUUGUCGUUGUCCACAUGAAAACCAACGGCGACGUUAGCUAUGUGACGACGAUGCAUAGUGUGCAACAACGGACAUGGAGAACAGUCAUGUGGCAUAGCACGGCGCUGCCACAAGCAUUGCUGUUAUGUAGACACAAUUACUGGACCGGUAUAGCAAUGAAAAUUUUAUAUAUUUGUAAUCAAAUUUCGUGUGCCUAAAUGUUGCGAAGGUUGGAAAGGAUUACGGUGAUUUAGUUUUAUCAAAAACACAAGGCUAGGAGUGGUACAAAGCCUUCAAAGACGGUCGAAAGAUCGUUGA